AGUCAAUCCGGAGUCCUCGCGUCCAUUACCGCCGUACUUCACUCUCCGAAGAUCAGCGUGUCUUGCUAGGCCUUUUAUUUCAGCCUAGCAACUUUAACGUGUGUGUGUGUUUGGAUACAUUAUACGUUAAGAAAUAAUUCUACCCGUGAAUUCCUUGGCGGGGAAAAAAAAAGGUGUCGGCAGUGUUCGGUGGAAUGGUCUCAUCACGCCUCCGCAAAACCCGUCUUUGAACGGCAGGUCUACGUUGCCAGAUGAAAGCAGGAGACAAGCUCAUUGGGGGGGGGGGGGAAACACACUUGGAUACAAUACGGGACGUCAGGAAUCUUUACAAUUUCCAAACCCGAAGACGAUCGCAGACGAUCGAAGGACGAUGACUCUCCUGCAGCUCAUGUGGAACAUCUCAAGCAGAUACACAAGGACGCGAACGGCCUGUUAAACCGCGGCGUCCCGGGUUGGAUUUUGAAUCUGUUUGAUGUACAACCCCACCCAAGUUGAGGCAGAAAUUCAAGAGAGUUGGACUGACCUUCAGAGCGGUAAAACUGCACGUCGUCAGUUCAGUCAGUUUCAAAAAGAUUCUUGGACCAAGAGUAAUCCGCUGAAUAAAUUUACAACACUGUGGGAAAAAGCCCAGAGGUAUUUUAUUGCCUUUCCUUCCACAUACUUGGUUGAGAGCGGAUUCUGCAAGGUAGAUUCCUUGACAAAAUCCAGGAACGGAAUUGAUGCCGCAACAAGAGGCGGUCUCCGGCUGUCAUCGUCUAACCUGGAGGCCGAUAUCAUGAAACUUGCGGAACGGCACGGAGCUCGAGGAUCGCAUCAGGCCUGACAGAUACAUGCAGUCUUUUUUUUAAAGUUUUGUCCGGGAUGUCGGAAUGUUCAAGCUUUCUUGGUGUUCAAUAAUAAAUGAUUUUCUGUCUA